rnacentral:rRNA from 1 species
CGCGGCCUAUCAGCUUGUUGGUGGGGUAAUGGCUCACCAAGGCGACGACGGGUAGCCGGCCUGAGAGGGUGACCGGCCACACUGGGACUGAGACACGGCCCAGACUCCUACGGGAGGCAGCAGUGGGGAAUAUUGCACAAUGGGCGGAAGCCUGAUGCAGCGACGCCGCGUGAGGGAUGACGGCCUUCGGGUUGUAAACCUCUUUCAGUAGGGAAGAAGCGAGAGUGACGGUACCUGCAGAAGAAGCGCCGGCUAACUACGUGCCAGCAGCCGCGGUAAUACGUAGGGCGCAAGCGUUGUCCGGAAUUAUUGGGCGUAAAGAGCUCGUAGGCGGUUUGUCGCGUCUGCUGUGAAAGCCCGGGGCUCAACCCCGGGUCUGCAGUGGGUACGGGCAGACUAGAGUGCAGUAGGGGAGACUGGAAUUCCUGGUGUAGCGGUGAAAUGCGCAGAUAUCAGGAGGAACACCGAUGGCGAAGGCAGGUCUCUGGGCUGUUACUGACGCUGAGGAGCGAAAGCAUGGGGAGCGAACAGGAUUAGAUACCCUGGUAGUCCAUGCCGUAAACGUUGGGCACUAGGUGUGGGGGACAUUCCACGUUUACCGCGCCGUAGCUAACGCAUUAAGUGCCCCGCCUGGGGAGUACGG